UGCCCCAUGGCUGAGUUGGUUACAGCGUCCGACUGUUAUGUGCUCCUGCCAGCUGACAUCGGAAGGUCGUGAGUUCGAGCCUCACUGGGGCAG